AAAUUACAUGCGGGGAGCUGGUGAAAACCGGCUGAGAGGAAGCGUAAUUCCGCUUCGACCCAUAACCUGAUUUGGAUAAUGCCAACGUAGGGAACAUAUCUUAACGCGAUA
rnacentral:ncRNA from 2 species